rnacentral:lncRNA from 1 species
CCGCUCCGCUCCGCGACAUUGAUGAAUCUGUGGCAACGCUGGGGAAGGCGAAUGAUUCGAGUGACAAAUUGAGACACCAGAGGGGAGAAAUCAAUCUGCUGAAGGUUAUCUGGCGCUGACAGUCUCAGCAUCGAGUGAUCGAGAGAAGAUUCCGAUUAGAGCGGCAAAUUGUUGUGGUAAAUAUUCGAUAUGCCGACGAGGGACCGCGAUUAACCUGCAUUCCCAUAACAAUUCUAGACCCCAUUCUUGAAUGGCUGACUUCAGGGGCAGCAC